AUACAGAGGGUGCAAGCGUUAAUCGGAAUUACUGGGCGUAAAGCGCGCGUAGGCGGUUUGUUAAGUUGGAUGUGAAAGCCCCGGGCUUAACCUGGGAGGGUCAUUCAAAACUGGCAGACUAGAGUGUGGUAGAGGGUAGUGGAAUUCCUAGUGUAGCGGUGAAAUGUGUAGAGAUUAGGAGGAACACCAGUGGCGAAGGCGACUGCCUGGACCAACACUGACGCUGAGGUGCGAAAGCGUGGGUAGCGAACAGGAUUAGAAACCCGAGUAGUCC
rnacentral:rRNA from 1 species